CCCCCCCCCCGACGAGGAGUAAGUGCCACCGCUCCGCCUUCUCCUUUUCGCAAUGUUGACGCAAUCUAUAAAUAGUGGAACAAAAGGACCAACUUCCUCGCAGCUUUGCUGAAACUGCACAAAAAAAGGCAACCCGGGGGGGGGGGGGGCGGAGGAGAGCACGGUUAAUUUUUUUUUUAAUUUUAUUUUUCUCCGGUGAAGAGGCGAAGCCUCCCUCCUUCCCCCCCCCCCUCCGCCCUACGCUACUGGAAGAUUAUUUAUUUUUUUUUUCCUCGCUGUCUCCUAUACUGGCAACGUCCUGCGAGUGGUUAUUUCGCUUUUGCACCGAGAGAAGGGCUUCCCCCCCCUCUUCUGACACUUAUGGAUGAAAUCCACACACUGAUGUCUAACCUGCAAUGAAAGCCAAUGUUUCGACCUUUCAAUAGAGAGCUGAUUUUGGAGAACAGCUUACUCCUGUGAUUGAAAAACUCUCUGGAAGGUUGAUGGAGCAUGAGCAUGGGGAAUUUUUCAUUGAGAUGAUUGAAAUCGCUGCAGUGAGAAUGGAAAUUACAUGGGCUUCUUUCCUUUUAAAAGCUGCAUGCAAGAACUGUGUGGGUUUUACCCGCAUGGGCAGUGCCAUAGCCCAUGGCUGAAUGGAACUGCCUCUGCAUUGCAGCUCUGGGGUCCUAAGGAUGGUGCCUGAUGCAAGAAAGGAAGGCUCGUUGUUUUCAGUUCAGGUGCUUAUUUUCUGCUAGGCUUAGGAACUGUAUGGGGGAAAAAAGAUGCUUAAUUCAUAUAAAAGGGAAAGAAAAGAUAGGCCUGCGUGAAAAUAAACAGACUAGCAGCUGUAUAGGAGCGAAGACAACUAGUGAGAGGAGUGUGUCUAAAAAUCUAAUGUUGAAAGGUUGGAGCUGAGAACUGAUAGGGGAAGGACAGAUCUGAUGAACUGGAAAAUUGGAAGGGGGGGGGGGGGGAAAACCUGUCCAGGUUGAGCAAAGAUUUGGGGGUUUUGUUUGUUUCUUGAAAUUGGAAGAAGCAGCAGCCUGACAGAAGGGAUCUGGCCUGAGGCAAAGAGGAGUCAGUCUUGGGGGAAAGGGGCUUGCACACCUUGGAUCACUCCUAACGUUCAUUAGAGCACUCUGCACUUCAGAUCCAGAAGGGAAUGCAGACUGUUAAGUAGUAGCUUUUGCUGUCAUCUGUGAAAUCACUGUCAGUUUCAUCCCCCUCAUCGUAUUCCACACAGAAGAGGGCAACCUUAUUAGUGCUCUCAGCUACUUCAUGAAUUUGGUCCUGAAAAGGAAUCCCAAAAUAACAGAAUAGUUGAGGUUGGAAGGGACUUCUGGAGAUCAUCUAAUCCGAGCAGGGUCAGGCAGAGCAGGUUUCUUAGGGCUGUGUCCAGUCAGGUUUUGAGUAUCUUCAAGGAUGGACACUCUGCAACCUGUCCUGUUCAGGUAGAAUUUUGUGCUUGUUGCCUCCUGUCCUGUCACUGGACACAGCUGAGAAGAGCCUGGCUAUGUCUUUUUCACUCUCCCUUAUCCCCAUCAGCAGGCAUUUAUAAACUUUAAGAUAACACACACACCAGCCUCUUCUUCUCCAGGCUGGACUCCCAGCGCUCUCAGCCUUUCUUCAUGUGAAAGAUGCUUCAGUUCUCUCAUCGUCUUAGUUAAAAUAUUUACUUCCACAAAUGGGAAUUGGAACUCAAAGGGGGAAAUGCUUUUUGGGGGGAAAAACCAAAACACAACCUGAUAACUAAACUGUAAAGAGAAUAUGAAGAUCACAAAAUGAAACACUAAGAAGAUAGAUAGCUCCAGCUUUACAAUUCGGCAAUCUUCAUUUGCCCCCUUGUGUUAGUGUACUAUGAAGCAGUCUUCGUGAUCAUACAGAAUAUUUAAACUAAUGAUAGGAUUGACCUGGUGUGGUGCAGAGCCAGGGAAGAUGUUUGUGGGCUGUGCAAGCAAGAAGCCUGAUAGGUGCUGCAGAAAUUGGUAGAAAAUUCUGUAGGCAAUGGAACAGAAGACCGCAAGUAGAAGCAGCCAUGUCUUCAUGGUUGUGUCAAAUGAGAAUUCCUAAGAUUUGGACAUGAUGUUUUCUUUUUCUGCCCUUAUUCUUAUAUGAUGCUAAACAAGUUACCAGGCCAUUGUUUUCGUAGUACUGGUGUUCCUCACUUCAGAGGGUGACUUAAGACCCUCAUGGCUGACAGAAACACUGGCUGUUCACAUUUGCAGCUGAGCUUCUUAGGAGUUGUCGUCUGAAUUAAAAUACUGUGUAACAUGUCUGUUGACAGUCUUCUGUCUGCUUAGGGUACCUCAAACUGUUGCAUACUAUAGUUUCUACGCCUCCAUAUCACAUUUAACAUAGGGGUAAUAGACACUUACCUUGAAGGGCUGUUGGGUUUUGUUUGUUUAAAAAUCACUUUUAUUUAGUAGCUGUACUCCAGUAAUGCAUUUCCUUAUGGAAUUUUCUGUGGCAUUUAUUAACUCUGAUCUCAGAGGAAGAGGUGAGUAUUGUGCAUCUUUUAAAGCCCAGAUCUGCAAUCAACUUUCCUUGCUACCAGCUCAAGCUGAGAAACCAAGUUUCCAUGCUGUUGAUUCAUGGUCUAUUCGUACAGUCCUGUGAGCUCCAAAAUACUCUGAUUUGUGUCAUAUCUUGUCACUGAUUCAUUUUGCAUAUUUAGCUAUUACUAUUAAACACUUGUUUGUCCCAUUUUUAGAAUGUGGUUUCAUGAGCAACACAUUAAAUAUUCUGCAAAAUCUUUUAUACACUAAAGGUAAUGUUCAUGUUUGAACUUCAACAUAUUUUACAACAAAUUUACCUGUAAAGAACUAUGUUGCAGAAAGAAUGAACUAGUUAAAUUGUAACAAUUUCUUAUGUACAGUGGUAAACAGCUGAUCUUUUAAAAUGCAAAGUGACUUACACCUAUGUGUUUAGGACUUCUACAGGCCAUCGUUCGUCAAGUUUCAAAAGCAGUUUUCUUGGUGCUGCAUAUGGCACACUUACUGAGUGAGAGUGGUUCUGUACUUGAUAUUCAGAUAUAGAGAUGUGAAAAUGUUUCCACUUUUCCCUUAAUAGUGGUAUCUCGUUAAGUAUUGGGGGAAGUAUCUCCUAAUCAGGUAGCAAUACUAGCAGUAAUGAUUGGAAUUUGAAAUGUUUAGACUCCCUUUACGUUCUUCAUCACAAUCUCUUGUCAUAGAAGUCACAAGAAAUGAUUGAUAUAUUGAUAGAAAUAUAUCUGCAGUGGUGAGCUACUAUUUUACCAGUUUAACUUGAAGCAGAAGUAGCAAUUCUUCAUUUAAAACAAACAAACAAAAAGUUUAAAAUGUAUUUGAAGGAAAACUUAUGUCUGAGAUAUAUGUGAAUCUCCUUUCUAAGGUGGCAGUUGUGAGUGUGUGUCGGAAGAAAAUGUUUAACUAUAAGCAGAAAUAAGAAAAAUAAUGGAGAAAAUGUCGUGCCACAAAUGACAUUGUUCAUCUUUCUGUGAGGGGGCUAGUAUCACUGGGGUAUUUCUUUUUCACUCUAAAUUAAACAGUUUAUUUCUGUUGGAAGUUAUGUAAUGGCUCUCACGUGCAACAACUCAGUAUUUUUUUCCAAAUUUGAUUCACUUGUAAUAGCUCUGUGUUAAUAAAUCAAAUGAAAUUCAUCUAA